UCUUACUGAUGCUGUUGUAAGUCUUUUUGCUUUCAGCAGGUUUUUCUUCUGUGGAUUUCACUGAAGCAGAUACAGUGUUCGAGAUGACAGACGGGGCUGAGUCCUUUGGCAUGUUUGGUGCAGGGGUCAGCUUCCCAGUGCUCUCCUCCUUUCCCACAGGCCAGUAAAUGACAAAGCUGCCACUACUUUAAUUGUGGAAGGAUUCCCCCAAUAGGACAAAAUUCAACUCUGAAGUUACAUCUUUGUGAACCUGGAAUGGAUACCACUGGAAAUCGCUUCCACAAGCCAGACUGAUACUUCCCCUGUGCUGGGAGAAAGUGGGAUACUCACCAAAGACAGUCCUAGCAGGGACAGAUUCUCUGUUUAGCCAAAAUGACACUUGCGAUAAGAUCACAGUCAUAAUGCAAGGCAGAUCCUAAGUUAGCAAUGAGAGAUUCUGGAUGUUGGGAACAGAACUGGGCAACCAUUUGCAGAAAGCAGCAAGAUCCACUUGGACCCAAAUUCCAUAUCUGACUCUUUUCAGCACUUGUACCACCAGGACAUAACAGAUGUUGGAAGCAGUAAGGAAGAAAUGCCUUCAUAAGUAACCCUGAUUACUGGCCUCCUACGAGCCUGAUGAAGUCCAGAAAAUCCACGGCUGACUGAUGCUUUCCCUGUGCAAAAUCGGAUUUUGCUAAUCCCUGGUUACAAUCUGUGUCCUGCUCUUUGUGAUCCACCCUGCAAAUCAGAAUCCAGCCAGCCCAGAUGUAACCCGAGACAUUAAUAUAAAAUCUUGACGUUGGAAACCAAGCAUUUAUUAGCCUAAAUCUUAAGAUAUAGGAGGGAGGUCAUUACUGGGCAGAAACUUUGGGAUUUGUCUGAAGAGUACCCUUUUUCCUUGGGCUUAGGAGUACAAGGACCUUUCACAGACAGAGCUGCAAACUGGAGGUGUCCUGGAGCUGGCACGCUGGAGCACUCACUGCCUGGGCUGGAUGGUUUUCUUGCUCUGAGGAGUAGGGCAAGCUCGCAGGAGAUGCCCCAGUACAUUCUCUGGAUCUUUUUCUUGGCAACAAUGAAGGCGAGAGGGGAGCUACCGUUCAUUGCAGAAAACAAUGCGGCUAUGAUGGUAAACUGGUAAGGAAAAAAGUGUCUUUGUUCUUUAAUGGGAGAUCGCAUACUCAUGCUUUUCCUGCAGCAGUGGCUGUCUAUAUACUUCUCUUGGCUUUAGGUAUCUCUGCUUUAGCAACAGCUUUGUGUCUCCUGAAAUGGGCAAGGGAGAGGGUGAAGUCUAUAGGAUGGAGAUAGUGGUUGUGUUUAGUGGCUCCCCUGUGUUGCAAGCCUUCCCUCAAUUUGUGUCCCGUUUGGAGACCAAGCGGCAAGCUCAGCUGCUCCCUCUUUAUUUGCUGUGUUUGGAUAGUUUGAGCAGGAAGUUUCAUGUUUAGGUCCAGCUAACUUUGUGUGGAAGUGUAAGUGUACCUGUUUUUGCACCUCCUAAGUUUCCUGAAAAUAGUAGCAGGUUCCUAACUCAAGCUAUACCUUGUCCUCUACAAUCCUGCCUUUGGCUCAGAGCAUGUCAUUUUUCACCAAGGACACAGUACAUCACCAGAAGACUCUAUCAUGCUUUGCCAGCAGGAAUUGCUCCGCGUCGUGUGGCUGUAGUCUGCCCCUCUUCCCCAUUCCAAGCCCUGCACAACCAGCAGCGGUGGAAAACCCCCUUCCCUUGAUGACAGGCUAUUUUGUUCCCCACCCCGCUGGAUGCCACUAAUGCUCUCCAGACGAGUGCAUUGUGUAACCUGGUUAAGCCCCAGUCCUGCUGAGCCUGUGUGAUGCCUAUCCUGGUCUCAACCCGCCCCGGGAGU